rnacentral:rRNA from 1 species
CUGCUGCCUCCCGUAGGAGUCUGGUCCGUGUCUCAGUACCAGUGUGGGGGGCCUUCCUCUCAGAACCCCUACGCAUCGUCGGCACGGUGGGCCGUUACCCCGCCGUCUACCUAAUGCGACGCAUGUCCAUCCUAUGCCGGAUCUCUCCUUUAAACCUCCCGGGAAUGCUCCCAAAAGGUGUUACGCGGUAUUAGGCCGGAUUUCUCCGGGUUAUCCCCCUGCACUAGGGCAGGUUACAUACGUGUUACUCACCCGUGCGCCGGUCGCCGGCAGGCA